UUUUGCAAAAGUUGAGUGGUA
rnacentral:miRNA from 1 species